CUGGGAAGAGAUGAUCUGUCGAUGGGAGAAGAUCAGACCCUGGAGAGCAGAGCCAUGCGCUCCUCCCUGUUUGAACAGAGGAGAGGGGACCAGACUUGGUGGUAGGCGUGAAGGGGAAGAGUUGGGGCAGAGGAGGAGUAAAUGCUGGAUGGAGAGUGUUGGAGAGGAUUGAUGGGAGAGCUGUUCCCACAGCCACCGCUUCUCUUGAUGUAACUGCUGCUGCUGGACCAGCCAGGACCAUGAGGGCUUCACAGAGAGUGACCAGGAGAUCUCUGGCUUCUCACAUCCCACCACUACCCUGAUCUCCACCACCCCAGGACCUCUUCGGAUAUGAGCAUGGCAGGGGGCCGACGAGGACUGGUAGCUCCUCAGAACACAUUCUUAGAGAACAUUGUCCGGAGAUCUAAUGGUAAGGACCCGGAAAGCAAUUCCAUUCAUUCCCUUCACCGUUCUGCCCAGGACAGAGCGCACUGUCUUUAAGGGACAGCCAGCCAGAAGGAAUAAUUGAUGCAGGUAAUUUAGCUGGUCCAGGAAUAACUGGCACCUUCUGCCUAAUUAAUCUCACUACACCGGGAUAAUCCAUUAUUUCCAAUCUGACAAUUAAACAUUUCUCUCUUUUUUUUUUUUUUUGCUCUUCUGGCAGCUAGAAGGUUAAUAGAAAUCAAUGUCUGCAUUGUCAAUCCCAAUGAAAGGUAACACAGAGCAGAGACACUAUGUUGGAAAAAUCACCCCAUUUUGGAGGGUGCUGAGGUUUUUAACCCUUGCCUGUACUACCAACGUGUCUAGGGGGAAACCACACACAGUGAGCCAUGGAUUAAGUUUUUACUCUGAGUAUAAUAUGUUCUCUUGGUCUUUUUUAGUUAAUUUGUUGAGACACACACACAUACUCUGUGGGAAUGUACAGGUGUAAUUGUAUCUAUUGUUAGCACCUUGUUUUGAGAUUCCUGUGGAGUUUCACAGUUCCUGUAUUUUUUUUUUUAAUAUUAAUUUUUUAUUUAAUAUUAUUUUUAAUCCCAUCUCAUAAUUAAGUUCUACAAAGCUAAUGAAAGUGAGUAGGGUUUCUUUAAACAUAUUGUGAUGUUUGUAAUAUUGGUUUUGUAGUGUGAGAUUGGUUUCCUUGUGUUUGAAAGAUUUUUUUUUGUAAUUGUUGUCCCUUAACAUGAGUCCUUGGCUACAGUGCAAUGUGUCCUCCUAUUUAUAUUUUAUUGAUUCAUAUUUCAUUAGCUAUUCUUUUCUGGAGUUAGUAACCCAGGAAGGAAUGAAGAGGGAAUAGCUGUGAUGCAUCUACUUAGCUCUAACGUGGAGGAAAUCUAUGAACAUCACUCACUCUGAUUAAUUAGUUAAUUUUGCAACAUUUCACUCUGUGCAUACUUUUGGUUAACUGGACAAAAAAUGGAAUGUACUAAUAAUUUGACUGCAUUUUACCAUUAGAUCCUUACAGAAAUAAAAUAGCACAUUGGGAAUUAUGUCUUAAAAUAAGUCUGUGCAUCCUUAAAGAAAAAAAAUAGCACAUUGGGAAUUCUGUCUUAAAAUAAUUCUGUGCAUUCUGAUUCGUGCAUUAAGAAUAAUUCUGGGGAACAAUGAUACAUGUGGAGCAAUCGCCAUAGAAACCAAUUUAGGCUGCUCCAUUUUUAGAACUUUGUCCCAGAAUUGAUUACACAGACCCUUAUUAUGUUCUGAAAUGGCUAGAUACGGAAUAAUGAUUUUACAAAUGGCUUGACUACACUCUGACCUGUGAUUAUUUUGCACAGAGACAGCAUUAUGCUAAUAGAUGUUCGGUUUGGCAUAAAAGCGCUACCUUGCUUGUAUGUCACUAAUCUCUCCAGUCAUGCUGUAAUGCAGGGCUGCACUUUUGUUUCUAGUCUCUAAUCUUUCUUUGCUCAUCAAAGCUAGGAUCCCAAGGAAACGGCACAGACUAUUAAAGCUCACCCCUAUUUCGCCUCCUGUCAACUUAGAAGUUUCACCACUUGAUUGACAAGAAGCACAAUGUUCUUACAUCUUCAAGUCUUUUUGCUUUUUGUGCUUGAACAUUCUCCUGCUGUACUGCUGAGAUAUACCUUUAAAAGAAAGGGGAAAAAAAAAGAAAUCAUUAACUUUUUAUGUUAUUUAUUAUAUAUAUUUAUUAUAUAUUCCAUUAUAUCUAGAAGUACUAAUAGUAAAUAUUAUUAGUAGUAAGUAUUCUGCUAUUUAGUGCAUUGUACACCUCUGUGGCUUUUUACGUGUGUUUCUAACGUGUCAAGUGCUCUAAAAGGUAAAAAAAAAAAAAGGAAAAGAUUAUUUUGAAUAGAGUGUGGAAAUUGAAAAGGACACUACAGGCACCCAGAACACUUCAGCUCAUUGAAGUGUUCUGGGUGCAUAUUCCCAGGUCCGUUAACCGUGCAAUUGUAAUUAUUGCUAUUUUUAUAAAGUGCAAUAAUUACAUUGCAGGGUUAACUCCACUUCUAGUGGCUGUCUACCAGAAAACCACUAAAGGGACUUCUGAGUCACAAGGUGACUUUAAGUCGCUUGACGCUGGACGUAUAGCGUGAGGACAUCCAGUGUCAUGUAAGACCCCAUAGGAAAUCAUUAUAUAUGCUUUCCUAUGAGGGAAGUACUAAUGCGAGCACGGCCAUUGCCGCACAUUAGUUCUCCCCCACUGGCUGAUGUUGGCGGGGGAGGACUGGAGGUGGAGCCUAAACCAGCGCCACUUUUAUUCCCUUCUGCAAACAGGGGGGAAGGGAGGGCAUGACGGAGGGGGGGCACAAUAGUGAUAGGAAAACAACUUUGUUGUGUAUCCUGGUACUAUAGUUUCGCUUUAAGGAGCUAGUUUGUUUAACACAACCGCAAAACAGUAUGUAAACUCAUCGUUUUUAGUUUAGGGUGUAUUCUUAAAUUAAUUUAUAUAACAUGUUUUUUGCUGCACUUUUUUUGUUCACAAUUUUUUUUCAAAUUCUUUAUGAAUGAGAAAUUUGUGCAUAAAUAUAUAUAUAUAUAUAUAUAUGGUUUUUAUUAGAAAUGUAUUAUUUAUUAAAUAGCAAGUUGUAAUGAGUGGGAACAAAUACUGGAAUCAAAAACAAAAACAGCAACAACUGAAUUCGGAGGAUAAAUUGCUUUAGGUUUAGUGUUAGAUUUUCAUUGUGUGAGUAAAUGACCAAUUUGGCUGACGUAGAAAGAUUGGAAACACUCUGUAAGUGAUCUCAUUCAUGGCAAUUCUCAGUUUAGUGAAUAAUACUGCUCUGUAUUUUAGGACAAUAUUUGCAAAAAAGUAAACAAUCUAUGCAUUUCACAGCACUUGAAUUCAAACAUUUAAAGGUUUUUAAAUUGUCCUAUCCUCCAUAUGGCAUUGAGUUAGCCUUACAUAGCAUUACCAAUCCACACUGGCCCUUAGAUUCCCACAAAGCAGCCCACACUAGCUCUAAAAUUGAUUUCUGAACAAUUCUCUAAGUAACUAAUUACACAUUUUGACAUGCUCACUGUAUGUAACUUCUCACUUGUUCGUUUUUUGCAUCAUAUGUAGUCAAAUGGAAACUAAAUCUAUAAAUUGAGGGUCCUUUGGAUUUUAGAGUUAAGAAUGAAAUCCUUAUCCCCUCACCCGAUGUGGGAGACUUUGGAGCUAAAUUACUUAACCCCUUAAGGACCAAACUUCUGGAAUAAAAUGGAAUCAUGACAUGUGUCUUUAAGGGGUUAAAGGAUCACUAUAGUCACCAAAAUAGUUUUAGCUAAUGAAGCAUUUCUGGUGCAUAGAUUAUGCCCCCGUGGUCUCACGGAUCAAUUAUCUGCUGUUUAGGAGUUAAAUCAAAUUUUGUAUGUAGCCCUAGUCAUUCCUCACUGCAUGUGACUUGCACAUCCUUCCUAAGCACUUCCUGUAAGGAGAUAUCUAAUAUUGAAACUUCCUUUAUUGCACAUUCUGUUUAUUAUUAGAAUUUUCCAUCUCCUACUCUGAUUAUAGCCUGCUACAGCCUGCAGCCUGUGUGUGAUUAAAGUUCAAUUUCAAAGUUAACAAAGUUAAAUGAACCAUUUUUUUCAUGUAGCCUGUGUUAGUCACAGCCAGGGGAGGCUGCAUAAUCAGAAACAAAAGUGAUUUAACUCCUAAAUGGCAGAGACUAGAGCAGUAAGACUGCAGGGGAUUGAUCUGUUCACCAAAAACGCUUCAUUAAACUAAAGUUGUUUUGGUGCCUACAGUGUCUCUUUAACGUUUAACUGCCCCCUUUUAACCAGUAGAGGGCAGUGUUAUAUGUAGCCCACACAUGUUGUAGAGGGUGUAAUCACAUUUAGCACAGUGUCAGGGGGAUGCCAUUUCCUCUUGCACUAAUAAUACCAAUCCCCCCCUGCUCCUUGUCAUGUAGAUGCACUCUGAACCUGGCGUAAGUCCCCCAGAUAUUAAUUUCCAAGCACUACUCAACCCCCUGAAAAUAUGCAAGUAGGGGCAUCCUCCAUGCCUUUGUUCCAUAAAAAAACUAAAGUAACCAGAUUCAUUAUUUGAAUAACAAGUGCAGCCCUUUAAAAGGUUAUUUCAUUCCAUUGUCACUGCAGUUUUUUUCAAUAGUAUUUAUACUGCAAGGAGGCUAUUCGAUCAGUCAGAGUUUGACAAAACCAGUGGAUCUUCAUGGUACCCAAAUACCACCUCCUCUGCUGGCAACAUGAUAAUGAUGAGGAUUCAUUUCCUUGUUAUGCAGCCAAAAUAUUUUUUUCGUAGGUUAGCAGUAUUCAGAAACCUGUCAGAAUUGACAUAUUGUAAAUCAAUUAGCCUAAAUCCUGGUCUGUAAGGAAUUAAAACUGGCCACAACUAGGAAAAAAGGCUACUGAAAUAAAAUAAGUCACUGGCCUUCACAGUGGCCUUCACUUGCAAGAAGAACAAAUGUAUUUGAUAAAGUUCUAGUCAGCCCCUCUGUACAUGAACUCAUUCUAUGACAUUAUUAAGGGAUAUUUGUUGCAUACAGUAUCAGACUUUCCAAUACAAAUGUCUAAUUUCACCCAGAAAACUGUAUAUAUUUUAUUUGUGCAUUAUGGUCACAUGUAGACUUUUUUUUCCAUUGUGCUGGCAUAUUCUCAAAAACGCAAGCAUAUUGCAUUUGACAAUUUAAAAUUCUAGUCUUUCACUUAUCAUUUGUUCUAAACCCUACGACACAAGUAUUUAUAAAACUGAAAACAUUUUAUACUUUCUGAAUACGUCUGCAAAGGAUGAGCAAAAAAAAAAAGCAAAACCAAAUCUGUAAACGAACAUCAUUUUAACCCCUUAAGGACACAUGACAUGUGUGACAUGUCAUGAUUCCCUUUUAUUCCAGAAGUUUGGUCCUUAAGGGGUUAAUCACUAAAUAGCAAUUUAUACUUUACAAUUCAGUUCAUGUGCCAGUUAUAAAUCAUUCGUUUCAAAUAACUUGUAGAUCUAAUAAUUAUUUUUAAAAUUAAUUGGCAGUUAAGGGAAAAAGAAAACUAAAAUGACCCUUCCCAACGCAACAGAGUAUUUGUCAUGGCAUUACAGAUCCAGAUUAAUUGAAUGUAAAUGUAGUAGGUUUUGGAGUUCUAAACAGUAAUAACGAUCAAUUAUGAGCAUCUACAAACCCCAUUCAAAAAGCCUCCAGCAUUCACUGCCUAAACUGGGACAUUAAGACUUGUUAAAUAAAAGUCAGAGAUUUCUUACUAUUAUUAAAUUUGACUCAAUGACAUUGUAACAAAACGCACCAUUAUUGCAGUAAUUGGUUGCGGACUGAUGAAAACAAGCCACUGUCCAGUGCGAGAUUAGCUGGAAACAUGUAAUAUUACUAAAAUUCUCUCUGCAUGGUGAGCUGAAUUGCCUUAGUGAACUGGAGUGUCUCUUUAAUGCAGCAAAUGAGAGGGAGAGAUGCCACCCCUGUAGAUUUUCUGUUGUAAACAAUACCAUUUCCGAGACACAGCAGUUUAUACAUUUUGCAUUUUUCAUACAAACAAGUAACUGUAUCGCAUAGUAUUGUCUCAAUAAAUCUGCCAAAUCUUUCACAUGGCUGGUCCUAUUUCUUUGUUGUACUGGUUGAGUGGGCUGAGUCUACCCUGGACUGGAGGCACUCUUGGGGAAAGUUGGAGCUCACAGACACACACACAGAGACUUGAGUCAAAAAUAAAGGGACAUUGCAGGUAUUAUAACAAAGUAAUUGCAAUAAAGUUGUUAUGGUGCGAGGAGAUCCCAGGUGUUGCUUACCUAAAGGUGUUAACCCAUUCAUUAAUGGUCUAACUUCAAAGUCUUCAAGCCAUCACCCAAUCGUCACCUAAUAGGCAGUUGAUAGACUGGCUGAAGCCAUGGAGUAGAAGUACAGGGGCAUAGCAUUUGGGAGCAGGCUUAAAGACUUUGAAGACGUCAGGUAAGUCGGUGCCCAGAGCCCCCUUGCGCCACAACAACUUAAUUGCAAAGAAGUUGUUACGCUGCCCGGACUGGUCUUUAAAAUUAUUGAAUUUAUUCAAACUGUUUUAAUCUGUUUGUUGAUUCUAUUAACCAUAUCAGCUUCUUCUCGGCUUCAUAUUGGCACUGCAGUUUAAUUAUAUAUGUCAGCUGCAAAGGUAAUAAGGAGUAUAUCAGUAACCUGCUGCUUUAACCCUGUUCACACUGUGUGCUGAGAGCUAAUGGAGUAGCUGACAUGUUUCAUAACAGCAGCAAUAUUUAAUAAAAAGCUAGAAUUAUCAUAGCAUCAACAUUACUGAAGAUGAGACCUUGAAAGAGAGAGCUAAGAGACAACUAGGAAGAUUAUACAUGUACUGGGUGGGUAUCUCUGUAUUGCUCUGUGUAAUCCAUCACAGUGAUCCUGGCAGUGUGAGAUAGGUUGUGUAUCUCCUUAUUGUGCCCAGCUCUGUGUAUUAUUUCUCUGUAUUUUACUCAGCUCUACCUAUCGUAUGGGGAUCUCUGUAGUCUACCCAGCUCUGUGUAUUGGAUAGGUAUCUUUGUAUUGUGCCCAGGUCUGUGUAUUAUACCUCUAUUUGUGUCAGCUUUGUUUGUGGUAUGGUUCUCUGUGUAUUGUAUUCAGCUCUAUGUAUUUUAUACAUUUACCUUGUUUUAUUGUAUGAGAAUCUCUGUAUAUGCUCAGCUCUCUGUAUUGUAUGAGUAUCUCUUUAUUGUAUAGGGAGGUGUAAAAUUCUGCCCUAACUUAAAACAUUACCUGCCGCCGCUAGUGAUUUUGUUUACAAAUAACUAUCUUAGACCUGUGUAUGUGCCAGGCGCUCUCUGCAUUAUAAAGCUUGUAAUACCCUUUUUAUUUUUACAUUCUAAAUAGAUUGCUUAUAAGACAGCAAUGACUUAUCUUGGCAUUGGAAAUGUUUGUGUUCUACAUGCUCAGCCAACAUCACGAUUUGUUGUGCAUUAGGAGACAGAACAUUAUCUGCAGUGCUAGAGUUAGCCUUUCCUGUUCUGGGAUUCUGAGAGUGUAUACGCGUGUUCAGAGUAUAUUAUUAUACUCUUCUCUCAUGCUGUCCCCAGUGAUGUUUGGGAGGAUUAAGAAGUCAACAUUAAUCACCUGGAUAUUUGCAUUUUGUAAUUUCAGACAGUAAGGAGGCUUUGGUCAGCUUACGCUCUGACAAGAUGCAAAAGAAACCAUGAAAGGAGCGUGAUUUACAUUUUUUCUUAUUUCCAGAACUUCGAAACAGUUUGAAACUCUGUAUUUCUAGGGUCACAUUCACAGAGAGGGCAAUGCUUUGACACAGGGGUCAUUUUCAAACCUCUCUGGAUAUGAAAAAGUACAAUGGAUGAUGUUGUGCAGAUAUACUUAUUAAAUGGAUACAUUUAUUUAUGAGAAAUAAAGAUGAGACAAGCAGGGAAUAUCAAUUUAUUAUAAUCUAAAUAAAGUCAUACUCCAAAUUGAUAUAGAGGGAUACAAGGUAAAUAUCAUUGUGCAUGAAGUCUGUAUGGUAUCAGUAGCUUAACUCCAUAUGCCUAUAUCUUCACAAUAUACAAUUUACUAUACCACUGUGCCCAACAUUACUUGUUAAAGUGAAACAUUAAAGGGUAUUCUCUGGCUUAAGCUUUAUGCCAAAAUAUUGUUCACCUAACCUGCCUUCACCAAUAUUUCUAGUUUAUUUACCUAUGUAAACAUAUGUAGAUUUCAUAGCAUUUGGGUUAUUGUAGAAUAGAAUCCCGCGGUUUGCUGCUCAUAUACUUCAUUUGAUGCAAAACGUUAAUUCAUUCGUGAAUUAGUGUUCUAGAGAACUGAUUGGAUGGCAAUGUCAAUCACGAGUCUGCAUCCACAAACACCGUAUUAACAUGAGCGCAAUACAUUUCUAUAGAGCAUAAACAGCUUAAAUGUACAUCUACACUGAUCAGCCACAAAAUUGAAACCACUGACAGGUGAAGUGAAUAACAUUCACUUUGUUAGAAUGGCACUCGUUAAGGAGUAGGAUAUAUUAGGCAGAAAGUGAACAGUCAGUUCUUGAAUUUCAUGUGUUGGAAGCAGGAGAAAUGGGCAAGGGAAAAGAUCUGAGUGACUUUGACAAGGGCCAAACAGUGAUGGCUAGACAACUGGGUCAAAGCAUGUCCAAAACAGAGGUCUUGUGGUAUGUUCCUGGUAUGCAGUGGUUAGUACCUACAAAAAGUGGUGCAAGGAAGGACAACUGGUGAAAUGGUGUUGUGGUCAUGGACGUCGAAGGCUCAUUAAUGCACGUGGGGAGUGAAGGCUAGCCCAUCUGGUCCAAUUACACAGAAGAGCUACUCUAGCUCAAAUUGCUGAAAAACUUAAUGCUGGCUAUGAUAGAAAGGUGUCAGAACAAAUAGUAGCGGAGGACAGUAGCAUGACCCAUAUUUACCAGCGAAAGUGUCUUUAAUGGGGACAUGAUCAUUAGACCUGGACCAUCAAGCAAUGAAAGAAGGUUGCCUGGUCUGAUGAAUCACAUUUUCUUUUGGAUCAGGUGGAUGGACGGGUGCAUUUGAGUUGUUUACCUGGGGAAGACAUGGCAGCAGGAUGCACUAGUGAAAGAAGGCAGUCCAGUGGAAGCGUUGUGCUCUGGGUAAUAAUCUGCUUGGAAGCUUGGGUACUGGCAUUCAUGUGGAUGUUACUUUGACACCUAGAGAUUGUUGAAGAGCACGUACACCCCUUCAUAGUUACUAUGUUCCUUGAUGACAGUGGCCUCUUUCAGCAGGAUAAUGCACCCUGCCACACUGCAAAAAAUGUUCAGGAAUGGUUUGAGGAACAUGACAAAGAGUUCAAGAUCCCACCGUGAGACUUCUAGGACAUAAAAGAUCUGCAAUUCAGAGAUAUGACAGGACACGUUCAUAGAUCUUGUGGAGUCCAUGCUUCCACGCAUCAGAGCUGUUUUAUCUGCACGAGGGGGACCCUCACAAUAUUGGGCAGGCAGUUGAAAUGUUAUGAUGGAGCAUUGUACAUGCUUUAAAGAAGCCUUGACCAGGAAAGAGAGAAGGAAAGAACUGAGACUCAAGGAGUUUUUAGUUAAAAAUGAGCAAGAUAAACUAAAUUAUGGUUGAAGAAAUGCCUCGUCAAAGAGAAAGGUCUUUAGCACUGUCAAAAAGAUGAGUUGUCUUAUGUUGUUCUGAUAGGUUAAGGUAGAAUGAUCUAGAAGUAAAAACUCUCUUUGCACACUGAUUGCCUGUUGAGAAAGACCUAGAUUACUAUCUUCAUCCAUGAGUCUGAAAGCAUCUUUAUGCUAUGAGGAAAGGUUAAAGGAUCUUAACAUGUAUAGCUUGGAGGAAAGACGAGACGGGGGGAUAUGAUAGAAACAUUUAAAUACAUAAAGGGAAUCAACACAGUAAAGGAGGAGACUAUAUUUAAAAGAAGAAAAACUACCACAACAAGAGGACAUAGUCUUAAAUUAGAGGGACAAAGGUUUAAAAAUAAUAUCAGGAAGUAUUACUUUACUGAGAGGUUAGUGGAUGCAUGGAAUAGCCUUCCAGCUGAAGUGGUAGAGGUUAACACAGUAAAGGAGUUUAAGCAUGCAUGGGAUUGGCAUAAGGCUAUCCUAACUAUAAGAUAAGGCUAGGGACUAAUGAAAGUAUUUAGAAAAUUGGGCAGACUAGAUGGGCCGAGUGGUUCUUAUCUGCCAUCACAUUCUAUGUUUCUAUGUUUCUAUAAAACCAGUUAUAUAAUUACCGUUUUCAGGCUCCUUUUUUCUAGCAGGUGGGACAUUCUACUAAUAAUUUGGGGGCUCUUAUUUUUUUCUGCUAGGGGUUAUUUGUUUCCUGCAAAGCAAGCCAAUGAGUCUGGCACUAACCUGUUUAAAUCAGAAGUGAUAAACAACAAAAAAAAACAAAAAGAAAAAUACACAAAAAAAGAAUAUUAGUUACAUAGUUACUUAGCUGAAAAGAGACUUGCGUCCAUCAAGUUCAGCCUUCCUCACAUUUGUUUUUUGCUGUUGAUCUAAAAGAAGGCAAAAAAAUCCAGUUUGAAGCACUUCCAAUUGUGCAACAAACUAGUAAAAACAAAUUCCUUCUUGACCCCAGAAUGACAGUCACAUUAAUCUUUCCAUCAAGCAGUUAUUACCCUACAUUGAAAAAUUAUUUCCUUGAAUAUUCUGUUUUUGCAAGUAUGCAUCUAGUAGCUGUUUGAACAUCUGUAUGGACUCUAAUAAAACCACCUCUUCAGGCAGAGAAUUCCAUAUCCUUAUUGUUCUUACAGUAAAAAAAACUUUUCUUUGCCUUAGACAAAAUCUUCUUUUUUCCAGUCUAAACACAUGACCUUGUGUCCUAUGUAAAGUCUGGUUUGUGAAUAGAUUUCCACACAAUGGUUUGUAUUGGCCCUGGAUAUAUUUGUAUAAUAUUAUCAUAUCCACUCUGAGGCGACGUUUUCCUAAACUAAAGAGGUUUAAAUUUGUUAACCUUUCUUCAUAGCUGAAAUGAUCAAUUACUUUUAUUAAAGGAACACUAUAGUCACCUAAAUUACUUUAACUAAAGUUUUAGUGUAUAGAUCAUUCCCCUGCAAUUUCACUGCUCAAUUCACUGUCAUUUAGGAGUUAAAUCACUUUGUUUCUGUUUAUGCAGCCCUAGCCACAACUCCCCUGGCUAUGAUUGACAGAGCCUGCAUGAAAAAAAAACUGGUUUCACUUUCAAACAGAUGUAAUUUACUUUAAAUAAUUGUAAGUCAAUCUCUAAAUUGAACUUUAAUCACAUACAGAGGCUCCUUCAGGGUCUAGCAAGCUGUUAACAUAGCAAGGGAUAAGAAAAUCUUCAUUAAACAGAACUUGCAAUAAAGAAAGCCUAAAUAGGGCUCUCUUUACAUGAAGUGUUUAUGGAAGGCUGUGCAAGUCACAUGCAGGGAGGUGUGACUAGGGUUCAUAAACAAAGGGAUUUAACUUCUAAAUGGCAGAGGAUUGAGCAGUGAGGCUGCAGGGGCAUGAUCUAUACAGCAAAACUGCUUCAUUAAGCUAAAGUUGUUCAGGUGACUAUAGUGUCCCUUUAAUUUUGUAGCGUGCCUCUGAACUUUUUCUAGUGCCAUAAUAUCCUUCUUUAGAACACUUGCCUAAAAUUGCACAGCAUUUUCAAGAUGUGGUCAUUCAUGACAAUACCUUACUGGCCUUAGCCACUGCUGAUUGACAUUGCUGCAUAGUUAGUGGUCUAUCACAAUUCCAAAGUCCUUUUCGUGUGUUGUCCUCCCUAAUUCGCUUCCAUUAAGGGUAUACGUUACUUGCGUAUUCUUUACGCUGAAGUGCAUAACUUUGGGCACUCUUUACGCCGAAGUGCAUAACUUUUUGCAACAUUAAAUUUAAUCUACCAUUUGAGUGCCCAGACCCCCAGUCUAUCUAAAUCCCUCUGCAGCAAAUUAAUAUCUUGCUCACAUUGUAUUACAUUACAGAGUUUUGUGUCAUCUGCAAACACUGAAACAUGACUUUCACCACUUGCCACCUCUGUCCAGCUUGAAAAUUUACCAUUAAUGACAACUCUCCGUGCUCUAUUUUCAAGCCAAUGUUCUACUCAAGAAGAAGAAAUUUCAUCUAGACCACUUUCUUUGAGUUUGAGCACUAACCUAUUGUGUGGAAUUGUAUCAAAUGCCUUGGCAAAAUUCAAAUAGAUCACAUCCACUGCAACACCCUGAUCUAUACUUCUACUUACUUCUUCGUAGAACGCAAUCAAGUUAGUUUGACAUGACCUGUGCUUCAUAAAACCAUGCUGAUAACCACGUUCUUCUCAAGGAAUUCUUGAAUAUUAUCCUUUAACAACCUUUCAAAUAAUUUUCCACCCACAGAAGUUAAGCUCACAGGUCUAUAAUUUCCAGGCAAGGAUUUUGAACCCUUUUUCAAUAUAGGAACCACAUCUGCCUUCCUCCAAUCCUCCGGAACACUUCCUGAAAGAAAAGACUCUUCGAAAGAUUAAAAACAGAGGUUAACUUUUUUUUUUUUUUUUUUUUUUACUAAUGUGAGAAUUCAAAGUGAAUUUCAAAUGUAAGGUUAGAGUAGCAGAACUAAGAGCAUGGCUGACUUGGAUAAUUUUUUCCAGUUUGGCUACUUUAACCUUAAGUUUGACAUUUAUUUUGAAUUCAAAUGACUUUGAAAGGAAUACUUUUCAUAGCAAUGUUUAAUUUUACUACAGAUACAGACUCCUACUAAAGUUUUUUUUGUUUGUUUGUUUAUCCAUUUGGGCAGAUGGAUAUCACAGCCAUUGCUGCCGACCAAGAGUAGUGGGAGUUUGCUUGCUGGUUUUUUUUGUGUGUGUUAAGUCAGCAGUGAUGGUGUGUGAGAGCUGAUUGUUUUUAGCAACUAAAUGUAAGUUUGAUCAUUCUGUUAAAAGAACAAAGACUGCAGCAGAACAAUACGUUUCCGCAGCAGGUAUUUGGCGUGACACAUUAUGUCUACAGAAAUAUAAGAGGUUUGUCAUUUACAGUGAAUGUAGUGAACUUUAAACUAGAUGGAAUUUGUAUUUUGCAGAAAAAAAACACAGAAGUGGUGUUUAUCUACCGUCAUCCAAAGCAUUGCUGGAUUUUUUUUUUUACACUUUAUUAUAUUAAUAGCUAUUACUAAUGGAUGUUUCAUGUAGUUGGGAUUGCUAUUUAUCAUCAGCGAAGAUUAUAAUGGACCUUGAAAAGAAUACUUUUCACAGCAGUGUUUGAUUUCACUACGGAUGGCAUUGUUGGUAUUAAGAAACCUUUGUCACUGUAAAAAUAUUAUAAACUGUAGCCAGGACAGAGCACUCAGAUGUCUGAAAGUAACAGAAAUGCAGAAUGUAAGUCGCAUCUAAGAGAGAUUCCACUCUAAAAUAAGGUACCUGGAGCCAGGAGUAUGCCUAUGGCUAUGUCAUCAUUGACUGCUCCUAUGCAACAAUUGUACCUUAUAGCCAAGGAGUGUCAAACGCUUGUUGUCUAGUAACUCAUAACUGCCUAGUAUUCAUUUUCUGAUGGAAGGUGAUGGGAAAAUUGACCCUUUUAAAAUAAAGUCAUAUUAAUUGAAUAAAUAAUAAUAAAAAAUUAGUAAUAUAAAUGUAAUAAUCUAAAUAAAUGCUGCUUUUUUUUUUUGUCAAUCUGUUUUUACUAAGAGGUAUAUUGAUAACAUACAGCCAUGUUUGCAAAGCUGGCAUUAUAUAGGUACAGUAUAUAACAGCCAACGUGCCGUUCAACAUACACAAGAAACAAGAACCUCAUUUAUAGAAGAAUUAAGAGGUAUACUCAGAUUAUACAGUGGAAUAAUAUCCCACUGUACAGAAACAAGAUGUGUGUUAGAGAAUUAUACAAAAACAGUAGGCUGCCCAUAAUGAAAUAAAAAUAAAAAUAGACGGUUAAGAGAACAUACAGCUACGGUUGUUAAAACUGAAAAGUUAAAAAAAUAAAAAUGAAUGUAGCCACAUCUCAAAGCGGGUCAUACGAGUGAGACAACUAGCAGUCAGGCAGAAGUCACAUUAGACGUAUGAAAUCUAUAAAUUUUCAUGUCAUAUCUGUUUAAGAAAAACCCCAUUAAACACGUUUGUGAUGUACUGGAAUGGAGAUUGUGAGCCAGAUGUUCUUGUCCAACAUCGAGUCCAUGACCUCACAAAUGCUCUACUAAAUGAGUGGGCAAACAUUCCCACAGAAACACUCCAAAAUCUUGUAGAAAGUCUUCCCAGAAGAUUGGAGGCUACUAGAACUGCAAAAUCAGGCACCGACUGCAUAUUAGAUAACGGCAAACGUAUAGGAGAAAAGGACUGUAGAUCUACAAAUAUAAUAGAAAAAAUAUAGCGUAAUAUUGUAAUGAUAUACUAAAAUGCGUGAAAUUAAAGUGCACUCACAAGAUAUAGUAGAAUAAAUCGCAGAAAGGUGCCUCCCCCGAUGAUAUGGGGGGCUAUAGCCAGGACCCCUUGUUCUUGGGAACCACUGCUGGAAGUAUGGAGAGCCGGACUCAGGAUGCAGGAAAAACUGCUUUAUUGCUCAAAAUAUAAAAUGAAGCUAAGAAAGCUUUAAAAGUACAAAAGUUGCUAAGGAGUUAUCCUACAUGUUUCACCUAAAAUAGGGCUUCAUCAGGGAAUCUCCCAAAAUAUAUAGAAACAUAAAAUAUAAAACAAUGAAAUAAAUUAACAGAAUAAUAAAUUCCUAUAAAGCAGAAUAUAACCUCCCCCCCCCCGAGUCUCUCUUUAUAAAUGGCUCUUGAUUCUUGUAAUUUCGGGUGUUUCCACGCAUCAAUCAGCUGUUCCUAGACUUCCUUAAUGGAAUUUAAAUUGCCCGGUGUAAUCGGCAUUCACUUCCGGAUUUUCGACUUCAUUUCCGGUGCGCCGUCUUUCUUGGGCGCACUAUAAUGACGUAUGCGUUCCAAGUGGCUGUUCUGCGUUCCACCUUCGGUACUAGUAUAAAAAUCUAUCCAAAACAAUAAAAGAAGCUCACAAACAGUAAUUCAUGUAUUGUAUUUGAAUAAAUAUAAUUAAUUGACCAUAUCUAUGUAAUAAUAACAUAAGAAUAGCGUCCAGUUUAUCCUCCCAUGGGAGAAAGGACAUAACAUACAUAAGGACUGUAAAAUGUAAAAAAUCCAAAUGGAGAUGAAACUGGACUCUCAUUAUAAAUCCCAUGAUUGAUACAUAAUUAUCAUAAUUUGCAAAGGGAAAAACGUCCAAUCUAUAAUCUUGUAAAGAAUGAAAAUAUAGUAUAUAAGAAUAAAAAAUGUUGAUAAAGAUAUUGUUUGUUUUCUGUAAUGCAUUGGGAAAUGUGUCUAUAUUUAUUAUCAAUCUAUACAUUUAUUUAUUUUUACAUUUUUCUAUGUACAUAUAUAUAUUUUUAUAUAUAUAUUGUUCUAUAAAACAAAAAGGGAAGAGAAGGGAAAGGGGAAGAGAUAGGGAAAGGAAAGGGAAAGAAAGAGGGAAGGAAAAAAAGAAAAUAAUUUUUUUUCCCCACAUUUUUUAUCCUUAUAUGUUAUAUUUUCAUUCUUUACAAGAUUAUAGAUUGGACGUUUUUCCCUUUGCAAAUUAUGAUAAUUAUGUAUCAAUCAUGGGAUUUAUAAUGAGAGUCCAGUAUUUAUUCAAAUACAAUACAUGAAUUACUGUUUGUGAGCUUCUUCUAUUGUUUUGGAUAGAUUUUUAUACUAGUACCGAAGGUGGAACGCAGAACAGCCACUUGGAACGCAUACGUCAUUAUAGUGCGCCCAAGAAAGACGGCGCAUUUUAGUAUAUCAUUACAAUAUUACGCUAUAUUUUUCUAUUAUAUUUGUAGAUCUACAGUCCUUUUCUCCUAUACGUUUGCCGUUGUCUUGUAUCACAUGAAAGGAAUAUUGUCUGGGAUAUUUCUGGAGAGGGCUACCACUAUCUAAGAAGAUAAGUGUGUUUUUUCCAUCACAAUACUGUAUUUCUUUAGUGUUGGAUAUAUGUUUUGUGUGAAUCUACCGACUGCAUAUUAAUGUGUACGUACUUAGAAUACGAAGUCAUAAAAGUCCAUGUUGUUGUAAUGGCCAAUACCUUUGUCCAUAAAGUGCAUCUUCGGUUGUUUCUCUGAUUAUAUAGCUCAUAGGUCUUUCCCAUCUUGGGCUUCACACCCAAGUUUUGCUGUGCGAUAUAUCCCAUCUAAAUUUUCUAUUCCAGCUGUAUAAGCUAGGUUUGUCCUGCAUUUUACACACCUAUAACCAAAUUGCUGCUCAAUAAGGUUAUUCUUGUUCUUCACAAUUGAAAACCUGUCUACUUUUCUUAUAUGUUAUGGUAUGUUAGGUGUUGUCUUUGUAGCUGAUAUUGCAUUUCUUAGUGACAAAGCAUAUGUUAAAAAAAACAAAAAACACACAGACGUCUCAGACAUUUUCCUACAAUGGCAUUGCUUCCUGUGCCUUAACUGAAAUUGUUCCUCCUACUCUGUGUUUUUGCUUUCUAUAAAGUUAAACCCAUUUGAAGUGUGGAUGGUUGAAAAUUCUAAUGAUACAGUGUAUUAAAUAAGUUACUGCAUGCCUGUAUUUUUAUCACAUGGCUUGAAACAGUAACAGAGUGCGUAUAGACAGCCUAGCUCUACACUAACAUUCCAAUCACACGCCACCAUGUCUGAUUUGUGUUUUAUAAUAACCAUUUUCUGGUGACUUUAAAGGGUUUAAUUCUCAGACAGCAGAAAUAAUUUGACAUAUUUCCUUGGAAACCUAUCUUUGGAGCCUUUAUUACUGCCAUAAAUUCCUACCCAGUAUGUUGGCGUGGAAGCCUUAAGAUCAGAGAUUCAGAGAUGCAGAGAUCAGAAUAUUACCUCUGGGCUGUAUGUAUUGGUCUCAUUAGUAUGUACACUAAGGUGUGGAUGCAGUUUUGAGAUGUAGUGUGACCGUUUGGAAAUAUUAGAGUUGUAAUUGCUAGAGAUAAAAACAGCAGCUGACCAUUCAUGUAGAAAUUAUGCACACAGCUCUCUCAUUUUAUUAGCCAUUUUACCAUUAGUCAAAGUUCACUGAGGUACUUGCAAUCAACUCUCCAAUUCUAUUUCCAUAAUUUCUGUAUUUUAGAACUAUGAGGUAAUGAAGAGAUGAAAGUGGACACAUUUAAUUACAACUAAAUCAAAUUAGAAUACAUUUGAGUUUAUAAGGGCCCGGAGAGACUCUGCUUUGAGUAUUGAAUAACAUGUCUUUAUGAUAAAUGAGAUAGCUUGUGUAAUUCCUUGGUUAUAUGACUGUUAAAUUAACAUUAAUGAAUAGAUAAUUCAAAAUAUGGAUUAUCAUUUGUUUUGUAUCUGGGGUUAAAGCGCCAACAAAUUCUGCAGCGCUGUACAAUUGCCUAUCUAUAAGUUAUCUUUAUGGUUGUAUACGUUAAAGGGAUACUAUAGUGCCAGGAAUACAAAGCUGUAUUCCUUGCAGUAUAGCUCCCCCUGCCCUUCUUCCCUUGCGCCCCAGCCCCCUUAAAUAAAGGGUUAAAAACCUUUUAUUUACUUACUUUAUGCCAGCGCCGAUGUCCUUUGGCAGUGGGUCGACGCUCCGCCCACUCCGACGUCCCGCAAUGAGCGAGCGCUAAUGCUCAAGAACGGCAAAUUCUGCAUGCGCAUUAGACCUCUCCAUAGGAAAGUACUGAAUCAGUGCUUUCCUAGGGGGAAAAUUCUGACGCAGGAUGUCCUCAUGCAGGGCGCAAAGAAGUCCAGCGCCAGUUCCCGGACCAAAUGGAUGCAGGAAGCGCCUACAUUGGCUGUCUAGUAGACAGCCACUAGAGGCAGACUAAGAGCUGCAAUGUAAACAUUGCAGUUUCUCUGGAACUGCAGUGUUUUCAAUUGCAGCACUAAGGGCAAAAUGGACACCCAGCUGAAGUAGUCUGGACACCUUUAGUGUCCCUUUAACCCUUCCAGUGGAGCAGGAGUGAGCUAAACACAAGGUGCCCCACAUUUAAAGGAGGAAUUACUCUGUCUGCAACAACUGUGCAUUCUCCGUAGAGUAACCUACCCAACUAGCAUGUUUACAGUACUGUAGCGGUCAGUCAGUCACAUUCACAUAUUCAUACUCCCUGUCACAUAACCCAUACAGUUACAUAUAUUCACCCACCUAGUCACAUUCACCCUGCCCACUAAAUUGGAUCUAUGCACCAACCCAGUUAUAUUUGCCCACACCGUUACAUGCUUAACCAUACCCUCACUCACCCCGUCACAUCUUAGCCAUGAUCCAUCUACCUGUUCACAUAUUUGUACCCAUCUAGUUACUAACAUCUACUUAUGCCUAUUAUUUAUGUGAAAUUGUGAUUGUGGGUGUUUGCAGAUUAAUCUCUGAGAGUCUACAUGACACAAUUUCUGUGGAUUCAUGUGACUUAACGUCUGUACUUGAAGUCAUUUGGUUUUAUUAGGUUUAAUUUAAAGCUGCACUGUCACUAUUUGGGGACUUUGAAUAAUUUGCAGAGACCUCUAACAGUGAAAUUGCAGCUGGUGGUCCAGUGGCAGCAGCCAAAUUUGAGUUUAACGUAACAUGUCCCUUGUGAGCGCUGCCAUCUUCACCUAGAGGGGUCCAUCCUAUUCCUUAUAGUACACUUCUGCAUGUGUGAAAGUACAGCAUUUAGGUCUAUGGAGGGUCAAGCAAAGCUGCCAAUAACCUGCAGCCGGCACUGAUGACGGCUGGUGAAUUGACACUUUUAGAUGGUGGUAGCUUCACCCAGUGUCUAGAAGUGUCAGGCAUAAUUGUUGGAAUUGCAGUGAAAUUCCAACGCAGUCAACUGAGCAUUUCAUAAAGAUUUUAUCUUUCUGAACUAUUUAAAUUGCAGGGAUGGGGUGAUGGUGCCGCUUUAAGGAUGCAGGCGUUUCUGGUGUGUCUGUGAAUUAAUGUUUGAAGGUAUAUGUGCAUUAAACCACGAUAGUUUAUGUGGAUUAAUAUCCUUGGGUGUCAGUGGAUUUAUUUGUAUAGCUCUGUAUACAAAUAAAACAAUAUAAAUCUGAAGAAUUUUGCAGAAUAUUAUAAACUCUGGUAUACGCUGGAAUGACAACCCAUAUUUCUAAGAUGCUAAAGGCCGUAUUUUGUUAAUGGAAAAGAAUCAUGUCCUGUAUAGAAUUUCUUAAGCAACAUUGCAGUAUGAAAAAUAGCAAGAUGGAGAGAAUGAUAUUGUGGCGGCAUAGAUGGGGGCAGAAAUAGUAUAAUUUCAUGAUGAUGAAUGUGUGGAGGGGAUUGCAAUUUGAAUUUCUAACAAAGGAUUCAUACCAUUUGCAAGAAAGAAGAGGAUUGUUCAAUAAUUAUGUAUCAGAACUGCAAAAUAAAAUGUGCUCAUAUGAAUUUAGCAUUAAUACAUUUAUAGCAGAUAAGUUCCGGGAAGGUUAUAUAAAUCCUUUUCUUUUGGUCAUUUAUGGUUAAGUGUAUCUGAAAAGUCUGGAAACAAAGCUUCAUUUUAUUGUCAGUGUUAUGUGAAUGCAGAUGUAUUCAGUGAGACUAAUAGAGUAGAGAACUGUUUCUGUACAAUGAAUUAAUCUCUUUGCAUGGGGUGCAGAUUGGAUAGUAAAAUUCCUCUAUUUUGCCACAGUGUAUAUACAUACAAUGAAAAUAACCAACUAUUUUUAUACAUAUGAAUUACUUCCAAAAAACAUUUGUGGACCUUUAGGAAGAAAAAGGGUACCCACGAUGCCUUAUGUGGAAGCUGUCCAAAAUUGGAUAAAUAUUCUACUUAUUUUACCUUAAUGUUUCUUUGUCCCGUAAAUACAUUUUUGAGUAUCAGCACCAUCAAUAUAUUUCUGUAUUGCAUUUAUCGGAAACUCCUAUAUAGCUUUAUUGGAAACUGCUCUGAUAUAAGUACUCUUGUGUGCUGGAGAAAUGGGUUCUGCAAAAGGUCAAGGUUCCAAGGUCACAUUACUCUUCCAUAUUACUUUUCUUACUGUGAUGAACAGCUCUCAAUCUAUAACUCUAUAGCAGGGCAGCGUAUCUGACCUGACCCUCUAAUUGCCGGUGGACAUUAUCUCAGAUAUAUCUUUCACCUUCUUAGCUACAUAUUCUCUCAGAGAAAAGAAAACCCUUAACCUGUUUGUGUUCUGUAUAUGUCACUCUGUAUAUCUUGCAUGUCUUCACUUUCAUAGUAUAGAUAAAUGUGAAAAAAUAAAAUGGAAUAUGAAUUAGACGAGACUGUAACUAUAUGACAAAAAAAAUAUUUCUACAAUAAUAAUAAAGUUCUGCUAUAGAAUGCUGGCUAACAUAGCCAUCACUGUUGUGAAUAUCACUAGUGGAGUCAGGGCUUGUUUUGCGAUCUGGAAGAAGAGGUGGGGGUGCCCAUGCCACACUUCUUCAAGCAAAUUAAGGAUGGCAAAUCCAAUUGAGCUAAAGCAACAAUGAAUUCGCUUAUAGGUCACAAUCAAUAAGUGCUCGCUGACUGGGAGAUCAUUUUCUAUCAAAUCUCAUUCUGCUCACACUGCUGACAAGGUCUAAGCCCUUGUGGUUUGUUUUAACUGCAAAAAGUAUAUAUCUUUUUCUCAGUCUCCUGAUUUUAGUGUGGUCGUUAUCUCUGUAGGGAUGUUCAUUUUUACUAAAUUUUAUGUUUUCUUUUUGGCAUCAGGAGCAUUUCCUUUGAUCACAUGAUGUACUUAUUGUUAAGGUAUACAGUGUCCAAGCUAAGUACACUAUUUAUAUAGUUUCAAGGUAAGAAGCCUUAUAAAAUGUAUUCUGCUGGAUGGCAUUGAAUACCUAUUACUCAUUACUUGUCACGAGGCCUACCAUCAUGUUUUCUGUGUGGGGACAUCAACAUAGAGUGAUUCUGGUAAAAUACUCCUAUAUUUGGGGUUCAGUUAUAGUCACAUUGAGUCUAUGCUAGCCUAAACAAUGCAAUUUUAAGUUGCCACAAUUUAGAUUUUAGAGAAUAAACUCCUAUGUUUUGUUCAUUAGGAAAGGAAUUUAAAGUGAAUUCAAAAUUAAUUUUAGAAUUUUGUCAAAAAUAGCCGAAUUACAGAAAUUCUCCACGUCAAUUCUAUUAUCAGUUUGGCUAUUUAGUUCUGACAUUCGAAAUUCAUGUUGAAUGCAUUUCGUUUUCCAGGAAAUUCUCCGUAAAAUCUUUAGUGCAUUACCCUAUUAGUUGUUAGGGUUCCUGAUGUUCAUGAGGUGGAAAGUUAAUGGCUGCGUUUAGGCUGAUUUAUGGCACUUUGCGGUGAGUGUUUUGUUAUUGAGGCACUCAGGGAGUGAAUGAGUUGGUAUUUAGAUCCUUACGGCACUCUGUUCAUUAAUGGGUGACUGUUUAUAUGCAUACCGUUCUGCAUAUGGUAUGGUAGAUGCACAGAUGUCUAGGUUAUUAUGACAGUAUGAGAUAUUGGCAGGUGUUUAGUGCUUACAUUAUUCAGAAGGGAAAAUUGAGCAGGCUAUUUGUGUCACUCAUUGGGUUAAUAGGUCAAAUGGGUGCUUAAGAAAGCUUUGUAUCCAGAGGGAGGGGAUGUUAAAGUGACACUCCACACCCCUUGCUGAAAAGCUUUAUGUGUGAAGAGUGUGCCUAUUUUUCAUUUUACAUAAAGUGAAGAUUUAAUUUGAAAUUGUCACUAUUAUAAAUUAGCUUUGCUACACCCCCUGGCUGUCAAACAACCGGUACUGUUACUCCCUCGUUUGGUUAGGCCAGUGGAGUUAAACUCAAGAGGCAGCAAUAGCUCAGAGCACCUACCUUGCAAAUAAUUCUCAUUGAGCUGCAUUAGGAAAUCUGUGAUUGGACAGCCACAGAAAGUCUGGGCGGGGUUAGACGGGGAGGGCUUGCAAAUGCCGCAGACAGGAGAAUAGCAGCUUUUGCAAGCUGUGUUUAGAUAUAAACCCAAUGAAAAAAAUGCAUAUUUAAAUGCAUGCAUGGUUUUUAUUGUGGGUAUAUCUACUAAACAGUGAUUUAAAAAAAAUGGUGCGGUGAAGUGGUCCUUUAAUUGGUGGAAAUUUAGGCCCUUCUGAUAUGCAAUAUGUUAAUGGAUAUGCAUUUUAAAUUUUUUGGACCAUUUAUUGCACUUAUGGGAUUAAUGGUUGUAUUUAGACUGAUGUUUGGCACUCAGGAGUUUGUGUGUGUAAAACAUGUUGAAUCUAUGCCUGCCUUGUCCAGUUUUGUUUAUAUACAAUUGUGCACAAUUUUCAAGGUUUCAAGACACAUAUAAAAAUUGCUUGUAAUUAAAAUCUCCCCAUUAAAAAACAUCAUUGGUAUAGGAGGAUAAGCAGAGUGAGGGGUUCAACGGAAAGAAGGUUUCUUUUACAGGAUACGGUGCUUUUGUACAUAUGCAGUUUGUAGCCUACAAUCUAUGUGUUCUUUAUAGUGAAUGUGUUUUAUAUAUCCAUUGUACUGCUUCUAUAUUUAACUAUAACCGCAUGCUAACUGCUAACCUUUUAAUUCAUACUCUGCUUGUCCUUACACAUAUACCAGCACAUUCUAAAAUUCCUCCUACAUAUUUUUUUUACUGACGUCCACAAUGUGCACUAAUUGUUAAUUAUUCGGGACAUGUCAGAAGGUUUGUGCGGAGUGACACAGGUAAAAUAAAUCACUGCAUUCGAUUGAUUUAACGCUUUCAGAGUUUGUAUUGCAUUGAUGGCCCCUGAAACUUACAGCUUUUUUUCUGUUCUUCAGCUAUGCAAAUUCUGCAGCAUUUAAGGAAAAGCAUUAAGGAAAUAUUUAUGUGCUAAAGUUUAAUGUUUUAAGACAUUAAGGUAAUAUAUUUCAGAUUAGUUAUUGUAAAAAACUGAACGUACGUCAAAGGAUCCUACUUUCUAAUGAUGGACUCAUAACAGAGUCUCCCAAGGUACACAUGUACAGCAGAUAAAGGCUGGUCCAACUGAAUAGAUUUCUAAUGUUAUAUAUAUAAAAAUAUAUUGUAGCGAAAGGCAGAGAGUGCCCAAUGUAAGUCCUGAGCUGCAGGAUGCAAAAAAUAGGGCUGUAUGAGGGGUACAGAUGUAUGGAACGAACAAAUGUGGAAUAAACAUAUCAAGGUUGUGAGAGUUGUGUAGAGGCCAAGAAUGAUGCCUUUGUUGUUUGGACCGGUCCAUAUGUAGUGGUAGGGAGAAUUGUCAUGAAUACCAGGGUGGAAACUUUGUACGUAAUGGAGGGCCGUAUGAGGCUGUGAUCAAAGGGUAAUCCUAUAUAUAACCAACGUGAUAGAUUAUUAAGUGUCUAGAAGUAGGUGUCAUAUGUAACAUUGUCAAUACUGUGCUAGACCGAGGUGGUUUAAUAUGUGGAGUAAGGAUAAAACUUAUCGGAUGAGGAGGGCCAUAAAGGUUGUGAUGGUGUUGGCACAGCGUAUAAUUGAACGAAGUAAGAUAAGACAUAUAUAACCCUAGUGAAGCAGGAAGGUAUUCUUAUUUCAAGACCAAAUUUGUGCUGUAUCGGGUUGCCCAUAGAGGGCCUUGUGAAGCAAAUGUAGUGAAGGUCAAGUAAGGGCCGUGUUUAAAGGUAUUCCAUGAAUCAAGAUCUGGAGAGUAUUGAUGACACUUAAUCGUUUGCAACAUGUGAGUAUAUUUAGGCUGUGUCCUAUGUAGGUGAUGAUGAUGAACCUACCUAACAGAUACUGCUGAACCAGAGUGUUUGACAUGGGGUAGGGACAAUGUACAUGAUGAAGGAUACAGUUUCCCCAGGAGGAUGACCUAGUGAAAGGUAAGGUGGCAGUUAGUUUAUCAAUAUUGUGUAGUGCGCUGGGGUAGGGUAGCAUGCAACCCCUGUAAGUGGAUGUUAUGCAAAUGAAAAGCCAAAUGAAGGGCUGAAAUAGGAACAUAGUAUACGAAAAAAGUGCCAGCGCUUAGUGAAUAAUCCCCUUACACAAAUAAGGGGAGUUUGGAGUUCAGGUAAUAUGUGUUGAUGACCUUUGAAACUGAAGUAGAUAGUUCUGUACUGAACCAGGAAGUCUCAGCCCAGAGGACGGGGAGGCCUGUGAAUUUAUAGGCUGGAUAAACCCCUCCCACAACUACAGGCUCGUCCUUUCCAUAUACAUAUACACAUAUACAUAUACACACAUAUACAUUCACACAUAUACAUAUACAUGUAUGUAUGUGUGUGUAUUUAAUAUAUCUUAAAGGUAAACUGUCACUUCCCAAGAUUUGUAAUAUUAUAUUUUCUUAUCCCCUAUGAGAUUACCAAAUAUGUAUUUGUAAGGUGUGCAAAAAUGAAAUUUAUUAUAAAAAUCUACACCUCUUUACCCUGUUAUAAGCUCUAUCCUUUACACCUGGCUGUUUGUAUUGGUAAAGCAUGCUGAAAGAAGGAGAAAUUAAAUAAUGUUUUUAUUUGUUCUCUUUAUUUGCAAUAUGUACUGUGGCUGUGUGCCUUAAAUGGACACUAUAGGCACCCUGACCACAUUUUUUGAAGUGGUCUGGGUGCAAUGUCCCUAUUGCACUUGGUGCUGCGAUGUUAAACAUUAUAGUUCCAGAGAAACUGCAAUGUUUACAUUGCAGCCAGUGGCGUACACAUGACCCAUGGGGCCCCGGUGCGAAAAUUGAUCCGUGGGGCCCCCCCCCGGCACGCGGGCCGGGCCGCAACACAUGGCGGUGGGCACCUGGUCGCAGGGGUUACAGGGCUGCGACCCCUGUGACCGCUGUAUGUACGCCAGUGCAUUCAGAUGCACACACACUUAAAGGACCACUCUAGGCACCCAGACCACUUCAUCUUAAUGAAGUGGUCUGGGUGCCAGGUCCAGCUAGCGUUAACCCAUUUUUUCAUAAACAUAGCAGUUUCAGAGAAACUGUUAUGUUUAUGAAUGGGUUAAGCCUUCCCCUAUUUUCACAGUGAGAGCACGCCAGCGUCCAUAGGAAAGCAUUAUGAAUGCUUUCCUAUGUGACCGGCUGAAUGCGCGCGCAGCUCUUGCCGCGCGUGCGCAUACACCUGACGGGGAGGAGAAGAGGAGGAUCGGAGGAGGAGAGCUCUCUGACCAGCACCGGAAAAAGGUAAGUUUUAACCCCUUUCCCCUUUCCAGAGCCGGACGGGAGGUGGUCCCUGAGGGUGGGGGCACCCUCAGGGGACUAGAGUGCCAGGAAAACGAGUAUGUUUUCCUGGCACUAUAGUGGUCCUUUAAAGGACCACUACAGACACCCAGAUAACAUCAGCUCAAUGAAGUUGUCUGGGUGUCAGGUCCCUCUAGUUUUAACCCUGCAGCUGAAAACAUAGCAGUUUCAGAGAAACUGCUAUGUUUCACUGAGGUGUAAUCCAGCCUCUAGUGGCUGUCUCACUGACAGCCGCUAGAGGAGCACACUGAACGUCCAUAGGAAAGCAUUGAGUAAUGCUUUCCUAUGGGCGGUUUGAAUGCGUGCGCGGUCUCAUUCGGAGCUGAGAGGGUGAGGGAUCCCCAGCGCCAAGGGAGUCCGGCGCUGGAGAAAGGUAAGUGCUGAAGACACACACUCUCACUUACAGACUCAUACACACUAGCUAACAGAGACACACUCAGCGACAGACAUACAUACACACUCACUUACAAAACAUACACUCUCAUUGACAAACACACACUCACUAACAGACUCACUAAGACACACACACUAACACUCACACUCACUCUAACACUCACUCUAACACUCACACACACUCUAACACUCACACACACUCAAACACUAACACUCACUCUAACACUCACACUCACUCUAACAUGUUUUUUUGUUUUUUUUAAUAUAAUCCCCCCAGCCUCCUUACCUUUUGGAGUGCUGGGGGGAUUAUUCCCUGGUGUCCAGUGGUGCUGCUGACCCCAGGCAGGCGGGUGGCCGGUCGGGCAGGCGGGCGCGCGAGGGAGCACUCAGUGCUUCCUCUUCAGCUCCCUCGCGCGCCGCGUAGGGAUGCCGGCGCCGGAAGAUGACGUCAUCUUCCGGCACCAGCAUCAGUGUGGUGCGCGAGGGAGCUGAAGGUCUGGGGUGGUCGGCUCCUGGGCCCCCCAGGGGAAGAGGCUGGCCCUGUGGGUACAUACCGGGUCGCAGGGGUGGCCGGGCCCCCUGGUGGGCCGGGCCCGGUCGCAGCCGCGACCCCUGCGACCCUGGUAUGUAUGCCACUGAUUGCAGCACUAAGUCUGCCCACAGUGGCUGUCUAUCAAAAUCUAUCAGACAGCCACUGGAGGUGCCUCCUGGAUGCUAACGGACUUUUGGUGCGGUAAAUGAUGCUGGACGUCCUCACACUCUGCAUGAGGACAUUCAUCGUCAGCUAUUUCCCCAUAGGAAAGCAUUGAUCCAAUGCUUACCUAUGGGGAGGGCCUAAUGCAAGCGCAGCAUUCGCCGCGCAUGCGUAUUAGUAACAUUUAAGGAAGCAGAGCCACGACCCAGCACCAAAGGACAUCGGCACUGGGAUCAGGUAAGUAAAUAAAAGGGUUUUAACCCUUUGUUAACGUCAGCAGGGUGGGAGGAGGUAGGGAGUGGAAAUGCAAAGGAAGCUAAAUUUGAUGUGUUCCCUUAACUGUAAGUACCAUGAGAUUGACUAGGUAUGAUAAUCAUUAUCGGAAAUGCAAAGGAAGCUAAAUUUGAUGUGUUCCCUUAACUGUAAGUACCAUGAGCAUUUUUUGUGUAUUAUUUUUGCACCAAAUACACUGUUUUACAAUGGAUUAAUAAAAACACCUUAAAGGAACACUUCAGGCAUCAUAGUAACUUCAUGGUUGAUUAAGUUUUUAUGGUGCCACUGACUCACUGGCAUUUCCUUACCUCUGACUAAUCACUGGCUCCUCAUUCAUAAAAAGGUAUAUACCAUUUUUUUAAUUAAACCCCUUGAUUAAACCCCUUAAGGUAAAGAAGCCCCAGGUAUCCCCUGACACCAUAACAACCUAAUUUCAGUUAAGUUGUUAUUGUAUCCAAAUUGGUCCUUUAAAUUUACAAAGAGUGGUUGCCUACUUUUGACAGUGUUUAUUACACAACAGUACAUCUAUUUGUAACUAUUUAGGCGCAGUCCACUUGACCUUUUAUAAGACUUCAGAUAAUUAUCCACACUGUGUAGAAGGACUUUCAAUGCACUCGAAGACUGCUUACAUAAAUACUAAUGUAUCUUUUUAUUCUGUAAUAGAAGAAACUAUUUCUUUUGAAUACUCACAUAAUUCCCCAAAUGACUGUCCCAUUUAUAAGACAACUUGAACACUGUUGCUUAAAAUCCGCGAGAAGCUGAAUUGUGUUCAAAUCAGUCAAAUCAAAUACAUGAAUAUAGAAAGGGAAUUGGAUUUACAGAGACUUCUCAAUUUAACUCUUGUUUUGCAUCUCGAAGAUAUCAUCUGCACAAAAAAGUAAAUACAAUAAUGAUAGGAUGGUGUAGAACUCUCUCGGGUCUUUCUGAUACUUCUUAUCCAAAUAGUAAAAUCAAGUAGGUGUCACGGUGAUAUUUUAUUUUAUAAGAUAAAUCACUGAAUAAAAAAACUAGCCAAGAUCAGGGAAGCUGACGAUGGUAAUAACACAAGAAGAACUAGGUAAGGGGAGAUCAGAAGUCACGAUGAAGGACAAAUAAGCCAGAACAUUUUCAAGACAAUGCCAUAGAAUUUCAAGAAACAAGUUACACUAAGGUUGAAACAUAUAGAAUAAUGUGGAUAUAUAGAGAACUGGCCUGCAGGUCUAGUUCUCACUAGUGAGUGUUGGUGAUACUUAAGGACAAACAGCAACAAAAUUAAGUAUGGAAAAUGGGAUUUAAUCCAUCGACCAGAUGGAUUUCAGAAACUUUGGAAAUCAGCUCAAGAUACAUAGUAGAGUAUAACGUAUGGAAUAAUGCUGCAUGCUGUUCAGAAAGAUGUUGUAUGUUGAUCAGAUAGUAAGACGUUCUCUAGUCUAGGAGUAGGCAACCUUUGGAACUCCAAAUGUUGAGGACUACUUCUCCCAUAAUGCUCUCACAGCCAUAAGUCAGGUAUGUUUCCAGAUUGGCUACUUUGUCCUAAAAUUUUACAUUUACAUUGAAUUCUCACUUUAGUGAAUUCGAAGUGUGGAAAUAUGUCUCCCUAUGAUAGAAGGAGCCUUUUUUAAAUUUGGUGUCACCAACAGGCCAUAAGGCACAUCUGAACCCUGCUCACCUGUGCAAAUGUCGUAGCUGGAAAAUGAGAGAGUAUAAAUAUAUAUUACAGGGAGACCAUUUUUUUUUUUGUCAAAUUGCUGAAAAAAGGUUUGACAAAAAGCAGAGGGAUGCACCCAUGCUUUUUUUAGCACCAUAACCACUACAAUAAGUUAUGAUCUUAUGUUGUUUUUGGUGUUGUGUCUCUUUAAUUUAAACUAAAUAUCACAGAAUUUUAUGAUCCACCAUUUUUUUUAAAGAAGUCCUGUUUUAAGGUUUUUUAAUUUAAAAAAAAAAGUAAAAUCAUGUGUGAUUGUUUUCAUAUGGCGUUUAUGGAAGAUAAGACUAAUAAUUCUUGUUUAUGCUGAUUCAUGUUUUUUCAAUGAAUUGUAUUUGAUAAUUACAAAUGAUUAACUUGAGUGGUGAAAAUGUCACAAAUUUCUAGUCUCUCAAUUACCCUUUGAUAUUCACGGAGCAUUUUCUCAGGGACGCUUAUCUUCUUUUCCCAAAUUAUUUUUACAAUUCAAUUGCAAAUAACAGAAAUAUGCUUUUUUGCCUCUGUUAAAAGAUAUCAAUGCAUUCUUUGGGUUUCUGUUGGUUGGUGUAAAGGAUUUAUUGGUAAAUUGCAAAAACAAAAAUAUGUGGAUAAGAAUAGACAAAAACGUUGCAGUUGUUGUUCCAUUAGUCCACACUCAGUUCUCAUACAGGUCUUAGCUCCCUUACAACAGUACAGAGAAAAUCUGUUUAUUUUGCAUAUCAGAUCGAUCCCAUUAAAAAAGGGCAAUACAGAUCCACAAUGUUGGCAAGCUGCUUCUUAAGAAGAAGUAAAAAAAAACACAGACAUUUGUUUUGGUCUUCAUUGACUCUUGUUAGCGAUACCUGUCUAGGCACAGUGAUCAAGGUUUUAGGCCUGUAUUAGCAUUUUAACUAAAGAUGUGCACAGAAUUAGAAGUAAAACUUACCGUUAUCACUGGAUGUUCGUUAUUCUACGAAUAAUAAUUUUUUUUGAGAGCCAAAGAGGUCCCCUGGCAAAAAGUAAAGCUUUAUUAAUAGGGCUGAUUCUGGGGUAAGUUCUAAAAGUAUCCAUGGUGAUUGUUCCACAUUAAGUACCGCAAUACCUCUUUAUAAAUAAACCACAAAUUUCUUAGAACCGCUGGUUAGAUAUUUCCUCUAACGUGCACGGCAUGGGGCUUCAAUUUAUUAUUCUAUAGAAUCUUUCCCAUAAAGAGAAUUACACCUUUCACAGCAUGAAUACUGCGCAUGGUGAAUUAACACGGAAAGUGAGGCGAUCGAUCAGUAGUGGGAUGUCGGCACAGCAUGGUACUUAUCUCCUGAGAGUUAACAUUUCAGCUCACUGGUGGCAAUGUAUAAAACUAUAGUGAUAUAGUACAGGAAAGCUGUGCAAGGGAGGGAUUGUACUGGAGUUAAAGAUAAUUUCUUACUUUUUUUUCUGUAAUUUACUUGAUGAUCUCAGCCUCUUUCCUUAGGAAGGUAUUGGGAGGCUAUUGCACAUGCACAGUCUUUACAUUAAAAAGCCUACAGGGACAUGCUAUAGACACCAUAACAGCUACAUUAAGUUGUACUUGUUCUGGUGACUAUAGUGUUCCUUUCAAAUCUUAGGCCAAAGAUAUCAGAAUUGUAAAAAAUUGUAAUUGUAAAAAUUCUCCAAGUCAACUCUUUUUUAGUUUUGCUCUUUUGACCAAUUAUAAUGAAAUCCACUUGAAUGGUUUGCUCACUAAAUAAUGAAUUGUAAGGAAUAAAAUAUAUUUUUUUAAUAUUCAGGCUAGCUAGGGAAGCUACGACUGGAGGCUUUAGCCUAGAUCUGAUUAGGAGAAUUUUUCCAGAUGAAUGCAUGAUCCCUAAAUUUUGCAAUUCAGAUAACAAUUGACUGCAAUUCGCUGUUCAGUGACCCCCUGAGUGUCUUUAUAUAUUACCCAUGUUUUAUUGAAACCACUAGUUACACGGUGAAGACUGUAGAGGAGGCAGAGCUUGUAUUUCUUAAAAUGCUAUUUUUAUACCUUUUUGUCUGUUACACUGGCGUUUGGAUUCAGGCAUCGCACUGUCACAGGAAGCAAUGUUCUAUCAUGCCUCUUGAUGUGCAUGCUUUGGGUGAAAUAAUGACACAAAUGGUUAUGAUUAAUCCCUGUCACAAUGAGCAGAAAUGCUGCGGUCACGGGCCAAAUAAUUUAACCCUCUCAGCGUUGUGACAAUGUUUAACGUGUUAGUGUGGUAACAAUCUUUUAUAAAUAGUUUACUAUUAAAGGAACACUGUAGCAUUGAAAAUGGAUUCCUAAACCUUUAAUAUCCCUGUCCCUAUCUGGAGUGGUCGGCCCCACUCAUGUUUGCUGUAAAAUUAAUGAAAUUAAGGGGUUUGUUUAUAUUUUCCCAGUGCAGAGAGUCCUUCGGUGCUGCUCAUCUCUCCUCCUCCUGCAACAUCAUCAAAGAGGCGUGGCUUCCUCUGCCCAUGGCCAAUCCUAAGGUUCUAAAAAAAAAAAAGAAUUAGGAACCUGAUGCGCAGAUUUAAAUAAAAAUCUACCGCUUCCUGAGUUUGGCACUAUUUUAUUUGAUUAUUACUUGACUAUUGGUUAUUUAAUUGGCACAAUUUGUGGAUUAAGGGCAAUUGCAGCAUUCACGCACAUUUGGUGCAAUGUGCAGGUUAGAUGGUGUAAUUUGUGUAUACUUUCCGAUGUCAUGAAUUUUGGGAGUUGAAGUUGAAAUGUUAGAAGUACCUCAAACCCUUGCUAUAUCCAAAAAGCAAUGCUUAGUGGAUACUUUUAGAAGUGCUAUAUUGAAAGCUGAGAAUGACUAUCUGAAUGACUUCCUGGUUUGACAAGAGCUCACUUCAACCUGGGAAUUGUAGUAAAGGCAGAAGCUUCAAUAUUGAAUAUCUUUUUUUAUUUUAGUAUUUUUGAUUUGUAUUUCGAUGAAUUAUUUAUAUAAUGUCUUAAAUACAAUGAGACAAAUCCAAUAAUCUGCCUUGUCGUUGCAGAAGAGAAAGUCACAAUAAAAUAUUUAAGGAUAGAUCUAAUUAUUAUGUAAAUAAGCAAUUUAUAUUCUGGAUCAGUGAUCAAUAAAUUAAAGAGAAAAUAUCCUACAUAUAACACUGGCUAUAUUGAUUACCUUAGCAAUACUUGCUCCAUUUUCUGUCAAUAUUGUUUAUGUAUUCAUGGGCAGUUUUUCAUAUAGAAGUAAGAGAAGCAACAAGAAUUAAACUAUAGAGUUAGCGUUUUCAGAUUGAUGUUUUUUUUAAAUGUAAAUCAUUGAAUGUAUCAUGUGUGGAUGUUCAUGGGACAUGAUCCCAGCAUGUGACAUAUGCUGUCGUACUGACAUUUUAUACAUUCAUUUGGAAUUACAGCAUUUUCUUAACAUUAAGUGGUAGGCUUUUUUAUUAUCAGGGACACCAUAGUUUCAUGAAGAUGUAUCAAUUAUUUGUGCUGUUGGCCAGUAUAUGAAAACUGUUGCCCUAAAGUAAGUAGAAUUCACAACGGGAUAUUCACUAAGUCUGAAUGAAUCUUAGCUCAAAAAGCAAAGAAUAUUUGAAACAAUCAAAGCAAAGACAUUUGGAGAGUAAAAUCCUGAAUAUAUUCAAAGAAUUUAUCAAUCACUGAAUGGAGCAAGAUAGCUUCUGGAUGGAUAGAAAUGUACCCUAGAUUCCAUGAAAAAGCAGGAAAUGAGCCAAAUCUGGCUAAUACUAGCUUUCAUUACAAAAAAUAGCAAAUUAUACCAAUUUCAUAGGACACAAUGAGGUCCAACAAACUCCAAUAUAUUCUAGUAAACAUAAUACAUUUGACUUUUGAUAUAUAUAUAUAUAUAUAUAUAUAUGUGUGUGUGUGUGUGUGUGUGUGUGUGUGUGUGUGUGUAUAUAUAUGUGUGUAUGUGUAUGUAUGUAUGUAUAUAUAUAUAUCAAUAAGGUGGCAAAUACAUAUAUUUCAGGAGGGGAUCAUUCAUAAAUGAAAAAGGAUUCCCAAAUAAACUGCUUUGAUUAACUUACUUCAGCAUGCUUCAGCAUAUGAACACUACAUACUGCAGCACAGCUUAAUAAUAUAUAGGAUACCUAUCCUGUAGGUGGAAAGCAGUUAAAGAAACAUUUCAGAUACGAAAAGCACUUCAGCUUGCUGGAAUUAUUUAAGAGUCUGGAGUCUUUAAGUUUUUUUAAAGUUUAUAAGUGUCCAUUUCAUUUGAAAUUGGACUUUUUAUUAUUGGGAUUGAAACACCUCCCUGGUUGUCACUCAGACAGUUGGGCAAGUUUUCAUCUGCCUCCAUUAGCUCCACGGAGCUAACUGAAGUUACUAACUGAAGCCCAGCAUGUCUGCCUUCUCCACAUCUCAUUGAACUCUCCUACAGCUCACCAAGAAGCAUUGGUGCAGCUCACUGAGAAGCAUUGGUACAGUUCACUGAUUAGCAUUGGUGCAGCUCACUGAGCAGCAUUGGUACAGUUCACUGAUUAGCAUUGGUGCAGCUCACUGAGAAGUAUUGGUACAGCUCACUGAGAAGCAUUGGUACAGCUCACUGAUAAGGAUUGGUGCAGCUCACCGAGAAGCAUUAGUACAGCUCACUGAUAAGCAUUGGUACAGUUCACUGAUUAGCAUCGGUGCAGCUCACUGAGCAGCAUUGGUACAGUUCACUGAUUAGCAUUGGUGCAGCUCACUGAGAAUUAUUGGUACAGCUCACUGAGAAGCAUUGGUACAGCUCACUGAUAAGGAUUGGUGCAGCUCACCGAGAAGCAUUAGUACAGCUCACUGAUAAGCAUUGGUACAGUUCACUGAUUAGCAUCGGUGCAGCUCACUGAGCAGCAUUGGUACAGUUCACUGAUUAGCAUUGGUGCAGCUCACUGAGAAUUAUUGGUACAGCUCACUGAGAAGCAUUGGUACAGCUCACUGAUAAGGAUUGGUGCAGCUCACCAAGAAGCAUUAGUACACCUCACUGAGAAGCAUUGGUACAGUUCACUGAUUAGCAUCGGUGCAGCUCACUGAGCAGCAUUGGUACAGUUCACUGAUUAGCAUUGGUGCAGCUCACUGAGAAUUAUUGGUACCGCUCACUGUGAAGCAUUGGUACAGCUCACUGAUAAGGAUUGGUGCAGCUCACUGAGAAUUAUUGGUAUAGCUCACUGAGAAGCAUUGGUGCAGCUCACCAAGAAGCAUUGGUACAGCACACUGAUAAGCAUUGGUAUAGCUCAGGGAGAAGAAUUGGUGCAGCUCACUGAGAAGCAUUGGUACAGCUCACUGAGAAUCAUUGGUGCAGCUCACUGAGAAGCAUUGGUACAGCUCACUGAGAAGCAUUGGUGCAGCACACUGAGAAUUAUUGGUACAGCUCAUUUAGAAGCAAUGGUGCAGCUCACUGAGAAGUAUUGGUGCAGCUCACCGAGAAGCAUUAGUACAGCUCACUGAUAAGCAUUGGUACAGCUCACUGAGAAGUAUUGGUGCAGCUCACCGAGAAGCAUUAGUACAGCUCCCUGAUAAGCAUUGGUACAGCUCACUGAGAAGUAUUGGUACAGCUCAUUAAGAAGCAUUGGUGCAGCUCACCAAGUAGCAUUGGUACAGCACACGGAUAAGCAUUGGUGCAGCUCACUGAGAAGCAUUGGUACAGCUCACUGAGAAACAUUGGUGCAGCCCACUGAGAAACAUUGGUGCAGCACACUGAUAAUUAUUGGUGCAGCUCACUCAGAAGCAUUGGUGCAGCUCACUGAGACGUAUUGGUGCAGCUCACCGAAAAGCAUUAGUACAGCUCACUGAUAAGCAUUGGUACACCUCACUGAGAAAUAUUGGUACAGCUCACUGAUAAGCAUUGGUACACCUCACUGAGAAAUAUUGGUACAGCUCAUUAAGAAGCAUUGGUACAGCUCACUGAGAAGCAUUGGUACAGCUCACUGAGAAGCAUUAGUACAGCUCACUGAUAAGCAUUGGUACAGCUCACUGAGAAGUAUUGGUACAGCUCACUGAGAAGCAUUGGUACAGCUCACUGAGAACCAUUAGUACAGCUCAAUGAUAAGCAUUGGUACAGCUCACUGUGAAGUAUUGGUACAGCUCACUGAAAAACAUUAGUACAGCUCACUGAUAAGCAUUGGUACAGCUCACUGAGAAGCAUUGGUGCAGCACACUGAGAAGCAUUGGUACAGCUCACUGAGAAGCAUUGAAAAGUCAUUAACAUGUAUGCGUGCACAGAGGCUCCUCAAUAUUGUGGGCUCGGGAAAAAGGGGAAUCUGCAGACUAAUGCUUUUGCAUGCUAUUUUUUCAUAUACCCCCAAACAAUUAGAACAACAAUCAUGUAUGUUUUAUUUGGGUUUAUAUCUACUAAAUUGUUAAACGUGUAGUGGUCAUUUAAUUCUUUAAUGUAUAUCUCUGAGGGUUUUUUCUUGGUUUAUUGAUCAGCCUUCUGUUUAAUAUGACAGCUACUACAUAUGGUACAUUUUAUGUCCUGGCCAAUAACACAUUGAGGUGAUCUGUGUCCAGUAAAAAAAACAUUGCCAGUGUUUGCACACCAGCUUCAAAAUAUGUCCUUAUGUCCACAUUCACGGCUUCGUCCAAUGUUGAUGCUACCCAAUGACUGCUAAUGUUACAAUGUCAUAAAAACGUGCCUCACCGCCCCGCUGGCAAGAGGUACUGAAAUUGCGCCCACCCAUCUCUGCUUUUCUUUCCCUUUGAGUGUAUUUUUACUCAUGUGUAUGAAGACAUGGGUUUAAAUUGCUGUAUUGAGACGAAAAUAGCAAAUGGUGAAUUGCAGUGAUGUUUACCCUUUUCAUGAGGUCAGCUUUAGACAGGAAUAGUUUUCCUAGUUUAUGUAGUUAGUAGUGUAUAGUUCAUUUAUAUGGAUUGGGAAUAAACUGUAAUGUUUUUAUAUAAAUUCAGUUUAAUUCACUGGAGAAUGAAUUCUAAUGAAUUCAAAAUAGCCAUAUGGCCAAAAUUCUCCAAAUCAGCUUUAUCCAUAGUUACCCUGUGAGAGUUUCUUUUUAUCUAUUUGGUUUUUACACCCCUAGAUUAUGAUGCAUCUAAGUGAACUUCAUGACAUAGCCCAUUCUCACAGGGUUAUUCAGUAAACUGAGAAUUCAAAGUGAGUUUCAAAUUUAUGUUCAAAAUAGCCAAACUAGAAUGAUUCAGCUAGUCAGCUAUGCUCUCUGUAAAUUGGAAAUUCAAUUUAAAUUCACUUUCAGUUCUCAUUUUAGCAAAUUUCAGUGUCAGUGUUAGUGAAUACAGAGGAUCACAAACAUUGAAUGAUAAUGUGUAGCUGUGAAUGAUGAGUUUGUAGCUGAAACUGGGUUUAGAUGCUCCUACAUCUGAUUUGUCUGAAUUGUGUCUUUGAAAUAUAUUGGAAUCAUACCAUACCAUAUGGCGCUUUACUCCUGGCUAGUAGAAAUGUAGCUCUGAUGAGUAUACCACGGCUUACAGUGGCUAGUAACCUUUAAGGCCUGAAUAGUAGCAGAGGACUUCAUAUCUUAAAGACCAUAAUUAUGUGCAGAUGGGACUUUUAAGUUUGAGUGGCUCACGGCUCGUCACAAAAACAUGUAUGUAUGAUGACAGCAAAACUCACGCUCUGUGUACAGACAAACAUUCCUGUAUUUGUUUUUGCUUUUUGUAUUUAAUGCACAUUUGUUGCAGGUUCCAUCAUAACUUUUGACUCUUACAAGAAACACUGAAAAUAUGUCAUCAUGGUGCAUAGUGCGAAUUUAUUUAUUUUUCUGUUAUAAUCUGACAAAUUGGAACUUUAUAAUCCGAAGGCAGAUUGUUUAGAGCAGUUGCUUGUCAUCGUUACGGCUCAGAACGAAGUCUCGAUCGACUCACCUAAGUGUACUUGGUCAAAUUUUUAUGAAACGUGAACUAUGGUCUUGUAUAUGCCUUAACAUGUUUUCUUUUUGAUUUUUCAGUCUGGACAUUAUCUCAUAGACAGACAGGUACAAAUAUGGUGCUACACAGUAACAAUGUACCCAUACAGGCUUCCUCUAGAUUCCAUCCCUAAUACCAUAAACUGUUCUGUACCAAUUUCUGUUAAUUUACAAAACCAUGGUCUAAAAAAUAGAAUAUAAGGGAAAAAUAUCAGAUUUUCUGUCAUCUCUUCAUACAAUGAGAUUUCGAGAUACAUUGUUAAACAUGGUAUUGCAACAAUGUUAACCCUUUGAGUGCUUGGCCGUUCCCUUCUAGCUACCAAAGGGUUAAGCACUGAGCCGGUUCUUUCCGUGUGCACUUGUGUAUAAUGUGUUAUGCAGUAGUUCUUGUAAAAUAACAAAUCUUGGCAUGGAACUAUUAAUGUGUGUAGAUUGUGCUUAGUAAAGUAAUCUCAUAUAUGUGUCUAUAUGUUCCUCCUGUAGAAGUCUCUUGUUCUUAGUCAAUAUAGAGUCUAUUCAACAGAAAAUCCCACGUGUUAAACCCCCACUUCCCCAAUACUAUGAUGUCAAAGAGCGGAGAAGCCAAGUAUGUAUCUAUCUAUAGCGGGAGCGAAAUUAAAUCACUAAUUGUAAUCCACCCCCAUCUUUAUUAGCCUAUCACUGCCAUCUAGGUAGGACAGAAUUGAUACGGCUAACGCGGAAGUCAAAAUUCCACUUUAUCAAUGCAGCUGAAGAGGGGUCAGUCUCCAGGUGCCUGUGAGAGUCCUGGUUUUUGUCACUCUGCUCCCAAACAGUUUUACAAAAACACGGCUGUCACCCUCAGACUCUUUGCACCAUAACCACUACAUUAAUAGUGUAGUGAGUGCCCCUUUAAACAUAUAUUAUAACCUUUCCAUAGUCAUGGUAAUGAGUAAUACACUGUGCCAUGCACUCUCUUUGUUCGCUGAAAGGGUUAAGAGGAUUCUUUAAUGCUGCACCGAUAAAAAAAAUCUCAUCUGUUAAUGAUCUAACCAGUCCAGGUAAUAAUUUGUUUCCAAAUUUUAUAACAAGUCAAUCAUGUCUAUUUGUUGCAGGAGCGCUGCAUUGUCCCCAGCAUAAUUUGUACAAACAUUGAGAAAUAAUGCUCAGACAUUGUCCUUGUAAACUCAGCCUGGAGCGUUUUUCUGUUGAAUAGACUCAUCGUGAAAUGCUUUCAUUUUGAUACGUGUUUAUAUAAGGCUAUUAAGUCUUUUUAUUGCUAUCCCCUGAAUGUUCCUCACUCAUCUUUUUGAUGUCUUUGUAUCCUUCGAACAGUGAUUAUUCGAAAGAAUUUACCAUGUCAGAAUCCGUAACUGUGUCACAAAAAAAAAAUUAGGUGUUCUUAUGCAUUAGAUGUACUUUUUGAGUUGUAUAUGGCAUUACGUAAACAAAAAAUAAAUAUUCAGUACUGCCAAGAUGCAAAUCUGUUGCUGAACUUAUUUUACCUUGCGGCUGCCUGGGAAUUAUGUGACUUGUAGUGACAGUGUUUUGCCGUCAUACAUAUAUUGCUGUAUAGAAAUUUAAAAAAUCAUCAAUAAUCAAUAGCAUAACACGCUUUGUACUACAAUGUAACUGAGGUUUAUUUAGUAGAAGUAUAGUGAAUUGAAAUACUAAUUGCAAAAUCUAGGUACUAGUAGCGGAUUUGGGAGAAUAUUCAGAAAUAGUCACAACUAGCCUACUUAGCCUACAUUUUGCAAUGUAGUUCUUAAUUCUGUAAAAUUUCAGUGUUUAUUGUGUAAGCUCCAACUAUUUUAAAAAUAAAAUAAUUACACAAAGGUGUAAAUAAAAAAUAUAAUAAUAUAGAAAUGAUCAACACCAGUUUAUUGCAACUCAAGCAGUCAUUCAACAGCAAUCUCCAAAUUCAGUUCUGUAUGUGUCAGCUCUGCGUUUUGUGAAUUAAAAAACAAACUACAAAAUUUAGUAAUAAAUAGUCACAGAGUAAGCUAUCUAAAUGAUUAUUAUGACAGAUUUCUCUAAUGAUAGUUUGUUUUAGAAUUGACUACUGAAUGCCUACACUUUCAGUCCAACCAAACUGGCUUUGUUUACUAAAUAGUCCAACCAUAUUGGUGAAUUGCAUUACCCUCGCCUAGAUAAUCACUAGAUUUAUGUGUAAACAGCCACGUUGGAACAAUUCUACAUCUUGGCUGGGUAUUAAAAUAUUUUCCAACUUGGCAAGUUCAGGCUAAAUGUCAGAUACAGAGUCCUAACCUUGUGCACACAUAAUAGACCCAUAACUAGACAUCUAACUAGGCCCAUAUGUUGGCAGUCCCCAGCCCGUGAAUGAUGUCCAAGUUUGGACAGAAUUAAUCCUAAAGCAGAAUGUUAAUGUUCCAUGGUGCUUUCACAGAAGACCAGAGACCAGAGAGACCCAGAUAAGUGACAAUCCAUUAAAAAACCGUUUGACGCAUUACCAUGGAAUGGCUCCAGAGGACUCCUCUGCAUUAUGGCCACUACAACUCUUUGUACUGGUUAUAGCGAUUAGACUGCCACUUUAACUAACAAGGCAAUAAAAUAUGGUACAUUGGGAAGGCAAUUGCAGAGCAUAUGCUGUAACAUAGGUUAAAGUUGGAAAACAAGAUAAAAUGAAAUUAUUUUGACACUAUUGUCCUACAAAAGUUUGCAAUUCUUUUAUCGUAUCACCAUAACUCACUUAGGGGCUUCACUAAACUGUGAUUUGUUGGGAGUUGCAAAUUUUAGGCUAAUAUGCCAUAGAUUCAAUUUUGCUGAUUUUUAAAAGGUUUCCAAUUAUUUUAGUUUAAAAUAUUCUAUUAAUUGGGGAAUUCCUGCCAGUUCACAGUUUAAUGACCAGCUCUGACUCUCUUUGCUGUGUAAUCCACCUUUUAAUUUACCCAAUUCCACGGUCCUUUCCAUUUUAUAAUAUUAUUGCAGGUGAUCUAAAAAACACAAUUAUUGUUUUUUCAGUUUUAGGCAAUAGAAAUAAUUUAAUAACUACCUUUAACAUUUUAAGCUGUACUUAUGUAGCAUUCAAAGGCUAGUUCUAUUUGACAUUGCUGGAUCUUUGGGAUUCAUGAAUAUUUAAUUACUUUUCCAGUGAUAAUUUUGGAAUAUCAUUUUAUACUAUUCUACUGUGUUGCAGUUCAUAUAGUAAGAUAAAGUAAAAAAAACCAAAAAACUUACAAUUGUUAUUUUAAUAAAACAUUUAUCUUUUUUUUUUUUUCUGGAACAGAUACUAAUUUUGUCCUGGGUAAUGCCCAGAUAGUGGAUUGGCCAAUUGUUUACAGCAAUGAUGGAUUCUGCAAGCUGUCUGGAUAUCACAGAGCGGAGGUUAUGCAAAAAAGUAGCACUUGCAGGUAUUUAGCAACUCACUUUAUAAUGACAAAAAUAUUGGCUACACUUUGUUUUUAUUCUUUAAAGGACCACUAUAGGCACCCAGACCACUUCAGCUCAAUGAAGUUGUCUGGGUACAAGGUCCCCCUAGUUUUAACUCUGCAGCUGAAAACAUAGCAGUUUCAAAGAAACUGCUAUGUUUACACUGAUGGUUAAUCCAUCCUCUAGUGGCUGACGCCCUGACAGCCACUAGAGGCCGCUUCCGCGAUUUACACGGAGUAAAUCACAGUUAUAUGAUGCUGGACGUCCUCACGGACCUCCAGUGUCAAAAUAGAUCCCCAUGCAUGCGCAUUCGACUCCACUCCGAUGCUGUUGUCGAUGGAGGAGGAGAGGAUUAAGGUAAGCAAAUAAAUGGUUAAUUAACCAUUUAUUCGCCCCUGAACGAGCCCUAGUCACCUACAUGGUGACUAGGGCUCUAUAGCGUUAGGAAUACAUAUUUGUAUUCCUAAUGCUAUAGUGUUCCUUUAACUUCAAAGAUGUGGAAGAUUAGUGAGACAGAAAAAAGAAUGUUAUAUGUAUUUAUUAUAAAACCACAAUUUUUGCAUAUGCCCAAAACUUUUCAUUAAAAUAAUCCAAAAUAUUUCUGAGAAUUGUUCUAGAAAAUACACCCCUAGAAUCCUUGUAAACAAAUUAAAUAAAGAAACAAAUAAUCACAUGGCAAAAUAAAAGUAUUUUUUGUGAAGUAUGGAAUAUACAAUUAAAUGUAGAAAUCAAUGGUUACGGAUCCUCUUUAAGUCUUAAUAAACAUUUCUUGUAUUUCAAAUAAAAGUAUUGGGAUUUAAUCUUAACCAAUAUGUACACAUGGGACAUUCAUUGGUACAUUGUGCGUUGUAACAUGUAACACCAGUAACCAGUACCAGCUUUGCAUCAGCCACUAAUGAUAGUAAAAAGUUCAGUUAUCGACAAACACUCUCACCAUCAGAAGGUCAGAUAAGAACAGUCAUUACCAGCAUUCGCAUAGAAAACCUAAUUUUUUUUCACUAUUUAGUAAAUAUACCCCAAAUGAAAUCACGCAUGCAUUUAGUUUCAAAUUUUAUCCUUCUAAAUAUAUAAGUAUGUAUGCUCAUUGAGUAGCCUCUUAUUAUCAGCAAGCACUUCUGAGUGUGAACAGCGAAGGGGUGGGGGGGGGGGGGAGAGAGGCAGGCGAGGACAAGGUGGAGGACACAGGUGCCAGGGGCCUGAGGUACAAAGAAACCUGUGGACUGUAAUCUGUCAUAGCCAUGGAAAUCGUACAUAAUUUAUGUAUGUAUAUAAUUCAUGGUACAUAAUUUAUGUAUUUAUAUCAUUCAUGCAGUAUAUAGUUUAACAUUUUGCCAUUUUCUUUUUUGCAUCUUGUUGUAAAGUCAAAAUUUAAAAUGCUAUUGGAGGAGGCUAACCAGAUUCACAGUACUGGUAGCCUGUUGUUUCCUUCCAAAGUUGGGCACUGAUACUAGAUCUGUGCAAUAUCCUCAUUAGCAGUGUGGCUAAACAAGAUUUUUUACCACUUCAGCAAGAUGAAGUGACUAUGGUGCUUGGAAUGGCCCUUUAACUCAUAAAUUUCAUUGAAUUGAGCAAUGAGGUUGCAGAAGUAUGAUCUGUGCACCAAAACUACUUCAUAAGACCGACCCUUUCCUUUUUCCAUCUAGUAGCCCAAUGACUACUACAACUGACAUGAUGCUUUAUCAGCUGUAGGGCAAAUUUCAUGGGAGAUAGAUCUUUUUGGCCACUUCUGUUCUAGUCCCUUGUAGACAUAUAGUAAUGAUAAGUGUGAUAUUACCAGUCUGUAUUAUUUAAUCAACAUUCUCAAUGAAACAGACCUGUUUUGUGCCUUGGUGUGUUUCAGCUUUAUGUAUGGAGAGUUGACGGAC